UACGUAGGGUGCGAGCGUAAUCGGAAUUACUGGGCGUAAAGCGUGCGCAGGCGGUCUGUUAAGACCGAUGUGAAAUCCCCCGGGCUUAACCUGGGAACUGCAUUGGUGACUGGCAGGCUUUGAGUGUGGCAGAGGGAGGUAGAAUUCCACGUGUAGCAGUGAAAUGCGUAGAGAUGUGGAGGAAUACCGAUGGCGAAGGCAGCCUCCUGGGCCAACACUGACGCUCAUGCACGAAAGCGUGGGAGCAACAGG
rnacentral:rRNA from 1 species